AGGAUUAACGCUGGCGGCGUGCCUAACACAUGCAAGUCGAACGAGGUAGCAAUACCUAGUGGCAGACGGGUGAGUAACGCGUGGUCAACCUACCGUUGAGUGGGGGAUAACUAGCCGAAAGGUUAGCUAAUACCGCAUACGUCUCCGAGGGGCAUCCCUUGGCGAUAAAAGGAGCAAUCCGCUCGAUGACGGGACCGCGUCCCAUUAGCUAGAUGGUGGGGUAACGGCCUACCAUGGCACCGAUGGGUAGCUGGUUUGAGAGAGCGACCAGCCACACUGGGACUGAGAAACGGCCCAGACUCCUACGGGAGGCAGCAGUGAGGAAUUUUCCGCAAUGGGCGCAAGCCUGACGGAGCGACGCCGCGUGUGGGAAGAAAGGCCUUCGGGUCGUAAACCGACUGUCGAAGGGGACGAUAAUGACGGUACCCUUGGAGGAAGCCCCGGCUAAACUACGUGCUAGCAGCCGC
rnacentral:rRNA from 1 species